AAAAUGAACGGGAGUAAGCGCGGCACCGAAGCAGCGGGAUGUGCGCAAGCGCAUCGGUAGGAGAGCGCUGGGGAUCAGACACAAGCCGUACCGUAAGGAGCGGUCAAGGGGUCCCCAGGUGAUUAUGCCGGAAUGAGUAACGAUAAGGCAGGUGAGAAUCCUGCCCGCCGAAAGCCUAAGGUUUCCUGGGGAAGGUAAUUCCGCCCAGGGUUAGCCGGUACCUUAGUCGAGGCCGAAAGGCGUAGACGAUGGACAGCAGGUCAACAUUCCUGCGCCGCCGAGGUGGACCGGAUGGAGGGACGGCGCGUCGAGGGUGAGGGGACGGCUAGAAAUGUCCCUGGCCUGAGCAAGGGGCUGCUGUAGGAAAAUCCGCAGCGCCAAGCCCCGAUCUCGGGUCAACGGCGUUUAUGUUCCGGACGUCAUCCGAAACGCGCCCAAGAAAAGCUCCUACGGGAUGAAGCCUUGGUGACCGUACUAAAACCGACACAGGUAGGCGAGACGAGAAGUCUAAGGCGCUCGGGAGAACACUGGUUAAGGAACUCUGCAAAAUGACCCCGUAAGUUCGCGACAAGGGGUGCCCCUGAUGGUUUACGCUUUUGGGGGCCACAGUAAAUCGGCUUCUGCGACUGUUUAUCAAAAACACAGGACUCUGCUAACUCGCAAGAGGAUGUAUAGAGUCUGACGCCUGCCCGGUGCCGGUAGGUUAAGGAAGAGAGUCAGCUCGCAAGAGCGAAGCUCGCAACCGAAGCCCCGGUAAACGGCGGCCGUAACUAUGACGGUCCUAAGGUAGCGGAGUUCCUUGUCGGGCAAGUUCCGACCUGCAUGAAUGGCGUAACGACAGAAGCACUGUCACAACCAGUGACCCGGUGAAAUUGUAGUCGUGGUGAAGAUGCCACGUUCCCGCAGCAAGACGGAAAGACCCCGUGAACCUUUACUGCAGGCUGAUAUUGGGCUGUGGUGUAUCCUGUGUAGGAUAGGUGGGAGGCGUUGAAGCCGGGACGCUAGUUCCGGUCGAGCCAACCUUGAAAUACCACCCUGGGUAGACUUUAGUUCUAACUCCGGUUCCCGUGAUCCGGGCGGGGGACAAUGUCAGUUGGGCAGUUUGACUGGGGCGGUCUCCUCCCAAAAUGUAACGGAGGAGUCCCAAGGUACCCUCAACCUGGUUGGCAAUCAGGUGUCGAGCGCGAAGGUAGAAGGGUGCUUGACUGCGAGACCGAUAGGUCGAGCAGAUGCGAAAGCAGGGCUUAGUGAUCCGGUGGUCCCGUAUGGAAGGGCCAUCGCUCAUCAGACAAAAGGUACUCCGGGGAUAACAGGCUUAUCGCGCCCGAGCGUCCAUAGCGGCGGCGCGGUUUGGCACCUCGAUGUCGGCUCAUCACAUCCUGGGGGUGAAGAAGCUCCCAAGGGUUCGGCUGUUCGCCGAUGAAAGUGGUACGUGAGCUGGGUUCAGACCGUCGUGAGACAGGUCGGUCCCUAUCUGCUGUGGGCGCACGAGACCUGAGGAGGUUCUUCUUUAGUACGAGAGGAUUUAGAAGGACGUACCUCUGGUGUUCCAGUUGUCGCGCUCGCGGCACGGCUGGAUAGCUAUGUACGGAAAGGAUAAACGCUGAAAGCAUCUAAGCGUGAAGCCCUCUCCAAGAUGAGGUCUCGUAAGGGCGUAAGCUCGAAAGCCCCCUGGAAGACGACCAGGUCGAUAGGCCGGAUGUGUACGCGCAGCAAUGCGCUUAGCUAACCGGUACUAACGGGCGAAUGCUUGGCCAC
rnacentral:rRNA from 1 species